UACGUAGGGUGCAAGCGUUAAUCGGAAUUACUGGGCGUAAAGCGUGCGCAGGCGGUUUUGUAAGUUUGUCGUGAAAUCCCCGGGCUCAACCUGGGAAUGGCGAUGAAGACUGCAAGGCUAGAAUCUGGCAGAGGGGGGUAGAAUUCCACGUGUAGCAGUGAAAUGCGUAGAGAUGUGGAGGAACACCGAUGGCGAAGGCAGCCCCCUGGGUCAAGAUUGACGCUCAUGCACGAAAGCGUGGGGAGCGAACAGG
rnacentral:rRNA from 1 species